GAUGAACGCUGGCGGCGUGCCUAAUACAUGCAAGUCGAGCGAACAGACGAGGAGCUUGCUCCUCUGACGUUAGCGGCGGACGGGUGAGUAACACGUGGAUAACCUACCUAUAAGACUGGGAUAACUUCGGGAAACCGGAGCUAAUACCGGAUAAUAUAUUGAACCGCAUGGUUCAAUAGUGAAAGACGGUUUUGCUGUCACUUAUAGAUGGAUCCGCGCCGCAUUAGCUAGUUGGUAAGGUAACGGCUUACCAAGGCAACGAUGCGUAGCCGACCUGAGAGGGUGAUCGGCCACACUGGAACUGAGACACGGUCCAGACUCCUACGGGAGGCAGCAGUAGGGAACCUUCCGCAAUGGGCGAAAGCCUGACGGAGCAACGCCGCGUGAGUGAUGAAGGUCUUCGGAUCGUAAAACUCUGUUAUUAGGGAAGAACAAAUGUGUAAGUAACUAUGCACGUCUUGACGGUACCUAAUCAGAAAGCCACGGCUAACUAUGUG
rnacentral:rRNA from 1 species